UCGAAAUCGGUAGACGCUACGGACUUAAAAAUCAUGAGGGUUCAAGUCCCUCUAUCCCCAAAAAUCCUAUUUGAC
rnacentral:tRNA from 1 species